rnacentral:rRNA from 1 species
AGAGUUUGAUCAUGGCUCAGGACGAACGCUGGCGGCGCGCCUAACACAUGCAAGUCGAACGAGAGAGAGGGAGCUUGCUUCCUCAAUCGAGUGGCGAACGGGUGAGUAACGCGUGAGGAACCUGCCUCAAAGGAGGGGGACAACAGUUGGAAACGACUGCUAAUACCGCAUAAGCCCACGGGUCGGCAUCGACCAGAGGGAAAGGAGCAAUCCGCUUUGAGAUGGCCUCGCGUCCGAUUAGCUAGUUGGUGAGGUAAUGGCCACCAAGGCAACGAUCGGUAGCCGGAUGAGAGGUUGAACGGCCACAUUGGGACUGAGACACGGCCCAGACUCCUACGGGAGCA